rnacentral:snRNA from 3 species
AGCUUUGCGCAGUGGCAGCAUCGUAGCCAAUGAGGUUUAUCCGAGGCACGAUUGUUGCUAAUUAAAGUCAUGAUGGUAACACACAAGAGGCAAUUAAUGAAUGACACAAGUUA